rnacentral:rRNA from 1 species
UACAGAGGUCCCAAGCGUUGUUCGGAUUCACUGGGCGUAAAGGGUGCGUAGGCGGUCGGGUAAGUCUGAUGUGAAAUCUCACAGCUUAACUGUGAAACUGCAUUGGAUACUAUUCGGCUUGAGAGUUGGAGGGGGGACUGGAAUUCUUGGUGUAGCAGUGAAAUGCGUAGAUAUCAAGAGGAACACCAGUGGCGAAGGCGGGUCUCUGGGCCGUAACUGACGCUGAGGAGCGAAAGCGUGGGGAGCGAACAGG